ACGAACGCUGGCGGCGUGCUUAACACAUGCAAGUCGAACGGAAAGGCCUGCUUUCCCUUGUGGAUUGCGGGUACUCGAGUGGCGAACGGGUGAGUAACACGUGAGUGAUCUGCCCCCAACUUGGGUAUAAGCCUGGGAAACUGGGUCUAAUUCCCGAUAGGACUGCAGGGUGGUGCCUGUGGUGGAAAACGAUUUUCUAGUGGUUGGGGAUGAGCUCGCGGCCUAUCAGCUUGUUGGUGGGGUAAUGGCCUACCAAGGCGGGGACGGGUAGCCGGCCUGAGAGGGGCGACAGACACAUGGGGACUGGGAUACGGCCCAGAAUCCUACGCGAAGCAGCAGUGGGGAAGAUUGCACAAUGGGCGGGAGACCGGUACAGCGACGCCGCGUGGGGGAUGACCGGCUUCGGGUUGUAAACUCCUUUCGGACGAGGGGAAGCCGCCUGGUUGGGAGGGUGGUGACGGUAGUGGUAGAAGAAGCACCGGCUAACUACGUG
rnacentral:rRNA from 1 species